GGAGAGAUGCCGGAGCGGUCGAACGGGACGGUCUCGAAAACCGUUGUACUGGGUAACUGGUACCGAGGGUUCGAAUCCCCCUCUCUCCG
rnacentral:tRNA from 1 species